rnacentral:lncRNA from 12 species
UUGCUAUCUUGCAUCAAUCACAGUGAUCACAUCAUAGCUUAACCCUGAAAUAUGUGAUGAUUUUUGAUGUUUUUGUGUGUUCUGCUUGAAUCAAGUCUUUCCCUUUAAAUCUGCAAGUCAGAUUGAGGGACAGAGGGAGCAUGAACGAUGUUUUAUCCUGUCUGGAGUAUUGGUGAAGUAAUAGAAGGCAUCCACAUAAGGAGCAAAGAAGUUUGGAGUCAAUGAGUAUUUCUAUGUAAUUGACACAAUUUGUUUGGCAGCCACCAAAAUACAGAGCACCCCAGCAGGCAUCGUGAGCCUUUUGAAGUGAAAUAGGAAAUUCAAAAACCAAGGAGGAGAUGGUGCCAGUGAAAUAUACAUCAAGAUAAAAGUUGCAGCAACAUAAAUGGAUAUAAACAAAAGCCACUUCUAUUGUACAUCAUGGCUGCAGUGGGGGGUGCUUCAUAAUGGGCUACUGGGAAACUUCUAAAUAUCGCUGGGUCAGAUACAGCCUGUGGUGAAACAAGAAGACAUUAACCCUGGCCUGUCCACUCAGAUAUUCCUCCCACCAGUGCUCCUGAACUACAUGGACUUUGUGUGU